rnacentral:rRNA from 1 species
GACGAACGCUGGCGGCGUGCUUAACACAUGCAAGUCGUACGGUAAGGCCCUUUCGGGGGUACACGAGUGGCGAACGGGUGAGUAACACGUGAGUAACCUGCCCACAACUUUGGGAUAACGCUAGGAAACUGGUGCUAAUACUGGAUAUGUGCUCCUGCUGCAUGGUGGGGGUUGGAAAGCUCCGGCGGUUGUGGAUGGACUCGCGGCCUAUCAGCUUGUUGGUGGGGUAGUGGCCUACCAAGGCGGCGACGGGUAGCCGGCCUGAGAGGGUGACCGGCCACAUUGGGACUGAGAUACGGCCCAGACUCCUACGGGAGGCAGCAGUGGGGAAUAUUGCACAAUGGGCGCAAGCCUGAUGCAGCAACGCCGCGUGCGGGAUGACGGCCUUCGGGUUGUAAACCGCUUUCAGCAGGGACGAAGCUUUUUGUGACGGUACCUGCAGAAGAAUCACCGGCUAACUACGUG